GUUAGGAGCCCAUUUUAACCUUAAGCUACUGGCUUUACUGUGCCAGUUCUAUUCUCCGCAAAGAGUGCACUCUGCCCUGGCGGUCGCCAAAACGCUACUCACGGAACAGCAUCAGAAGAACUCGAAGUCUAUCCAUGCCUAGAACGGCUUUUCUUCGGGGAUCCAUGCUCGCCAAGCAGCGAGUAAGGCGAGUUGUACUGCUGCAGAGGCCGCCCAAGAGGGAAUCCCUCAAAGUCGCCGCGGGAGUGAGCCGGGAACCGUAUUCGCAUCAGAGGGAAGUGUCCCCGAAGGACCCCAGCGGUCCAGCUUUCCGGGCAGAGUAAGGAGGAUGCUGCGCCCAAGGUCAGGGGCGCUCUCGGAUCAUCGCCGCGCAUGGGUCGGUCCUUGGAUCGUUUUGGGACUUGGGCAAGGUUUUGAGACUCUGCUGAGAGGAGACCGAGGUUGGGGCGGUCGAAGAGGCUCUGAGGGCGCGUACCCAGCGGAAAGCGGCUCUACGCGCGGAACUGACGACCGUGGAGCCGGGCGAGUCCCAACCCGGGGACAGGACGGUGUGAAGGUGGACUGACUCGCUGGGGUCCUCUGCUGGGGUCUCUGGUCGCUAAGCGAAUCUCCUGGCCUGGAGGAGAAAUGGGGUCGUAACACCCAACUCCUCUCACCUACACUCCCCCGGACCCCUCCUGGCGCCAGGGGUCGCAGGAGGCCCAGGCCUGUAAGGUGGUGUUAGGGUUAGGGUUUGUUUUGUUUGCUUUUGCUUUCUUGUCCGGGGAUGGAGGAGGGAGCGGAGGGCAUUCUCUAGCCUAGGUCUCCCAGGAAGAAAAAGUCCCGAGACAAAACCUGGGGCCGCCUCUCCGCGGAAAGUCCCCGACGCCGGAGAAGGACCCAGCGCACUCGCCGUCACCCGCCGAGCCCCCGGGAGGUGCGGCCCCAAACGGCUGGAGGAACGCGGAGCCGGGUUUCAGCGGCGCUGCUUUUUUCCGGUAACAAGACCAGAUAAGGUCUCUGGGAGUCCCCUCACCUGGAAAACUGUGGGGAUCCCUCCGAUAUUCCCCCCAAAUAAAAAUAACAUCAAAUCAAAAAGUCAAA